UACGUAGGGUGCAAGCGUUGUCCGGAAUUACUGGGCGUAAAGAGCUCGUAGGCGGUUUGUCGCGUCUGCCGUGAAAGUCCGGGGCUUAACUCCGGAUCUGCGGUGGGUACGGGCAGACUAGAGUGAUGUAGGGGAGACUGGAAUUCCUGGUGUAGCGGUGAAAUGCGCAGAUAUCAGGAGGAACACCGAUGGCGAAGGCAGGUCUCUGGGCAUUAACUGACGCUGAGGAGCGAAAGCGUGGGGAGCGAACAGG
rnacentral:rRNA from 1 species